AUGUUCUUGCUGGUCAAUUUUGGUCGGUGUGUGCUUCACGUUGACACAGAUGGCAAAUUGAUUGACAUUUUCAAUUUUGAUCUCCAAGGCUUCUGUAUUUAUGAAUGUCGUCUCAAGCAAAGUCUGGUUCAGCAUACCUUUUUUCCGUCUCUAAAAGCCUACAGAAACGGAAGCCUACUAUUGUUUCUCGUCAGAGGGUGUUCUCUGAAAUGUAAGCAAAGUGAGAUAAUGAAGCAAUAUAAGCUCACCGAUGAUGCUAAUAACUUAAGAUGUACUAGUACUUACUUUGCAUAUAUAAAUUCCUGA
rnacentral:rRNA from 1 species